rnacentral:rRNA from 1 species
AUGAUCUCACAAGGAGCACGAGUGAGGAGCCAACGACUCGUGAGGCUGCCGGAGAGCCGAUUGGUUCUUGUCUCCCAAGAUCACAUGAGAAUCUUAUAUAAGAGUCUUGACCUCAGCAAAUCUGGCUGCAGCUAUGAGGGGGGAAAAGAGCCCGGCUCUACCAUGAAGAUUGAAGCACGCGAUGCAUUUAAUAACGUUGCCCAUGGAAGCUUGGACCAUCGUUGUUUGUUAUAUCAUGGGAUUGGUGGGGCUUCUUUUGUCCAAGUGACAGGGUUCCUUGAUGUCUGUGAAGUAAAUCUCAGUCAUGCAGUGGAAAUUCGGCCCCACGGUGACCUAGUAACCAUGAAACUUACCGUUGAGUCUGGUGGAGCUACGCCUGUGAAAGUGCUCCCAAGUAAAGUUUCAAUGCCUGAAGGUGAUGAAGCGCUUUGUAAGGCUGUUGAUGGCGGGCCACUGUUCGAUGAUCAUGGGAACUUUGUUGGCAUGAACAUUUUCUCCGACAAGGGAAGAUAUGUUUUUGUGGAAAAGAGUGUAAUUGUUGAAAAAUUGAGGUCACGCGCACGACAGGAACGAUAUAGACACUACCGGAAUACAGAUGAUGGCCGGCGGCGUAGAGAGGAUGACAUGUGUACUCUGGAAAAAAGAACUAGGAGGAAAUUUACACCGUAUUAG